rnacentral:rRNA from 1 species
GACGAACGCUGGCGGCGUGCUUAACACAUGCAAGUCGAACGGAAAGGCCCUGCUUUUGUGGGGUGCUCGAGUGGCGAACGGGUGAGUAACACGUGAGUAACCUGCCUUUUACUUUGUGAUAUCUUCAGGAAACUGGUGCUAAUACCGGAUAGGAGCUCCUGCUGCAUGGUGGGCGUUGGAAAUUUUCGGCGGUUGGGGAUGGACUCGCGGCUUAUCAGCUUGUUGGUGGGGUAGUGGCUUACCAAGGCUUUGACGGGUAGCCGGCCUGAGAGGGUGACCGGCCACAUUGGGACUGAGAUACGGACCAGACUGCAACGGGAGGCAGCAGUGGGGAAUAUUGCACAAUGGGCGGAAGCCUGAUGCAGCAACGCCGCGUGCGGGAUGACGGCCAUCGGGUUGUAAACCGCUGUCGCCUGUGACGAAGCGUGAGUGACGGUAAUGGGUAAAGAAGCACCGGCUAACUACGUG